rnacentral:rRNA from 1 species
GCCUUGUACACACAGCCCGUCACACCAUGGGUGAGGGUUGCAAAAGAAGUAGGUAGCUUAACCUUCGGGAGGGCGCUUACCACUUUGUGACUCAUGACUGGGGUGAACUCGUAACAAGGUAACCGCAGGGGAAACUGCGGGUGGAUCACCUCAUUACCCUAAAGAAGC